UAAGAGGCUUGGGCCAAGACAGAGGC
rnacentral:piRNA from 2 species